rnacentral:rRNA from 1 species
ACAUCGCGUGAUGGAUGAAGUGCCUUGGUACGUAAACAUCUUUUAUCGGGGACGAAGUAAUUGACGGUACCCGAUGAAUAAGGGGCUCCUAACUCUGUGCCAGCAGGAGCGGUAAUACAGAGGCCCCAAGCAUUACCCGGAAUCAUUGGGCGUAAAGGGUGUCCAGGCGGCCAUAUUAGUCGCUCGUUAAAUCCGUGGGCCUAACCUACGGCGUGCGAGCGAAACGGUAUGGCUAGAGGGCGCGAGAGGUACAGGGAACUCAUGGUGGAGGGGUGAAAUCCGUUGAUAUCAUGGGGAACACCAAAGGCGAAGGCACUGUACUGGCGCGUUUCUGACGCUCACACACGAAAGCCAGGGUAGCGAACGGGAUUAGAUACCCCGGUAGUCCUGGCCCUCAACGUUGUUCGCUCGUUUCGCGGAGUAUCGACCCUCUGCGGGACUAAGGUAACCCGGUAAGCGAACCGCCUGGGUAGUACGAGCGCAAGCUUAAAACUCAAAGGAAUAGACGGGGACUCGCACAAGUGGUGGAUUAUGCGGUUUAAUUCGUCGACAAACGAAGAACCUUACCAAGGUUAGAAACCAAACUGCAUUCUUGAUGAAAGUCGAGAAGCCUUCGAGGGUGUUUGGCAGGUGAUGCAUGGUCGUCGUCAGUUCGUGGUUUGAACUGUUCCCUUCAGUGGGGUAACGAACGCAACCCCCGUUGCCUGUUGCCUAUAUGGUCAGGCGAGACUGCUCCCUCACGGGAGAGGAAGGUGGGGAUGACGCCAGAUCAGCAUGUCCCUUGAUACCUUGGGCUGCACGCAUAAUACAAUGGUCGGUACAACAGGAUGCAAUACCGUAAGGUGGAGCCAAUCCCAAAAACCGUCCUCAGUACGGAUUGAGGUCUGCAACCGACCUCAUGAAGCUGGAAUCA